ACAGGUGCUGCAUGGCUGUCGUCAGCUCGUGCUGUGAAGUGUUGGGUUAAGGUCCCGCAACGAGCGCAACCCCUGCUGCCUGUUGCCACCACGAGAGGUGGGGACUCAGGCGGGACCGCCGGUGACAAACCGGAGGAAGGUGGGGACGACGUCAAGUCAUCAUGGCCCUUAUGUCCUGGGCUACACACGUGCUACAAUGGCCGGUACAGAGCGCAGCGAGGCCGCGAGGCGGAGCGAAUCGCUUAAAGCCGGUCCCAGUACGGAUUGGAGUCUGCAACCCGACUCCAUGAAGUUGGAAUCGCUAGUAAUCGCGCAUCAGCAUGGCGCGGUGAAUACGUUCCCGGGCCUU
rnacentral:rRNA from 1 species